AGGAAUUCGAUACCUCCCUACUCCCAAUGGAGGCGCUGGAUUUUUCCACGACCCUUAUUUCAAUGAUGGACAAAGACCAGGAGGUGGCUAAUCUUGCCAUAUCUGAAGUCAACAAAGGAUCUUGGGUUUCUUGUGCCUUAAAACCAAUGAGUGCUAAAAAAA